GACGAACGCUGGCGGCGUGCUUAACACAUGCAAGUCGUACGGUAAGGCCCUUUCGGGGGGUACACGAGUGGCGACCGGGUGAGUAACACGGGAGUAACCUCCCCCCAACUUUGGGAUAACGCUAGGAAACUGGUGCUAAUACUGGAUAGUUGCCCCUCCUGCUUGGUGGGGGUUGGAAACCUCCGGCGGUUGUGGAUGGACUCGCGGCCUAUCAGCUUGUUGGUGGGGUAGUGGCCUACCAAGGCGGCGACGGGUAGCCGGCCUGAGAGGGUGACCGGCCACAUUGGGACUGAGAUACGGCCCAGACUCCUACGGGAGGCAGCAGUGGGGAAUAUUGCACAAUGGGCGCAAGCCUGAUGCAGCAACGCCGCGUGCGGGAUGACGGCCUUCGGGUUGUAAACCGCUUUCAGCAGGGACGAAGCUUUUUGUGACGGUACCUGCAGAAGAAGCACCGGCUAACUACGU
rnacentral:rRNA from 1 species